AAAGGAGCUUGCUCCUUUGAAGUUAGCGGCGGACGGGUGAGUAACACGUGGGUAACCUACCUAUAAGACUGGAAUAACUUCGGGAAACCGGAGCUAAUGCCGGAUAACAUAUAGAACCGCAUGGUUCUAUAGUGAAAGAUGGUUUUGCUAUCACUUAUAGAUGGACCCGCGCCGUAUUAGCUAGUUGGUAAGGUAAUGGCUUACCAAGGCGACGAUACGUAGCCGACCUGAGAGGGUGAUCGGCCACACUGGAACUGAGACACGGUCCAGACUCCUACGGGAGGCAGCAGUAGGGAAUCUUCCGCAAUGGGCGAAAGCCUGACGGAGCAACGCCGCGUGAGUGAUGAAGGUUUUCGGAUCGUAAAACUCUGUUAUUAGGGAAGAACAAAUGCGUAAGUAACUGUGCGCAUCUUGACGGUACCUAAUCAGAAAGCCACGGCUAACUACGUGCCAGCAGCCGCGGUAAUACGUAGGUGGGCAAGCGUUAUCCGGAAUUAUUG
rnacentral:rRNA from 1 species